rnacentral:lncRNA from 1 species
GAUUUCUUGAGAGGAUGCUUGUCCUCACUUGGGCAGCAAAUGCGUUAAAGUGGGAAGCUGCCUGCUGACCUCCUUCCCCAGCAUCUAAACUCACAUCCGAAAAUGUCUCAAAGUCCCCCAGAUACUUGCAUCCUAUGACCUGGAAACAGACGUUAGCGUGUUGUCUCCUAAAUGAGAUGUUAGCCGUAACCCACAUCCUAGAGAAGCAUACUGUGUGCUCUCUAGGUGGGGUCACCCGCAUUCUACCGUGAAAGGAGCCUUGUUUCCCCUUCAGACUUCUUAGUCUGCUUUCCACCACCAGCAGUAAAACCCAAUGCCAGAGCUGGGCAGAUGUAUAUGUGGACUUGCUGAUGUCACUUUGCUGUGUUCUGUACUGGGAGGAACGGAGUAAGGCUUCUGUCACAUAGAAUUUUACCAGAA